ACUUCGGGCUUCCUCCCACAUUAAACUGACACGCCUUGAUAUAACUGGAAUACUGUUAAAAGCGGCGUUAAACCCUACCCACUCACUCACACAAGUAUUACAGCAAGAAUCACCAUACGACCACAAAUAUAUCCCAAAUUAUGAUCCAAAGGGACUUAUUUCACACAAUUUACUCCUCCUAUAACAUGUUUCGUAUAAGACAUAAACAUUACAUUACAUGACGUAAAUAUAUCUCUGUGGUCCUCGAACACCUCCUUUGAAACACGUACACCAGCUUCCUUCCUACUCGGUUAUGCUCACUACUGCAUAUAUCAUCUACUGUACAGCCACUGACAUGUAUGUAUGGCAUCUGGCUUGCAUGAAACGGAUCUUAAUAUAUAGGUAAUGUCGACAUCUAUAUAUUUGAGAAUGUAUUUUAUUUAAUGUCCGUGUGUGCAUCGGGGUAGCCUAGUGGUUAAAACAUUCGCUUGUCACUCCGAGCAUCCAGGUUCGAUUCUCCACUUGGGUACAAAAACACGCCUGUUUCGCGUCGGGGUGUAGCUAAUCAUUAAAGCUGCAUACAAUCUAAUCAGUUAUGUUUGUAAAUUAUUAUUAAUGUCACACAUGCCUUAGUCAAACCAUUCUACAGUUCUGAAAAUAAAGAUAUGUAAGUAGCGUUACCUCUGAUAUAUGUUUCGCAGUGCCACUAAUGGUUUUCCUGGUCAGUGUCUGUUUUAUCAUGUCUCAACAGAAUCUUUUGAAACCUGGCGUAUUUUAACAUUAUUUUUCAUGUUUUGUAUAUAAUUAGUAUCACCAUCAAAUGCGACCCCAUAAGGUAAUACUAAUUGUGAACUAUUGGUACCAAUGUUUUCUAACAUUCCGAGAUAUACGAUGGAAAUCGUUGAAUGGUGUAUAUUUAUGAUAUUCUUCUACCUACUUGGAAAGAUAGAUACAAUAGACUAUUUCACCUUAAACAAUUAAUUACAUAUGUUUAAGAUGGAUAAAUUUAAAUCUGUCACUCCAUUUAUCGAAACUACAUGUACAUGCCUGCUCGUUUCCAUGGUGAUGUUGAGAUGUACUUUCCUAACAGCAUGAAGUGUACACAAUCAUGGUUGCCGUUGUCAUGGUGAUUAUGUCUAUAAACCACACUACUGCACAUGUGUAAGUGCUCGUUUCCCUAUGACAGACACUAUUGCACAGAUGAGAGUUACUUCAUGUUAUUGUAAUGGUGAAUGUCACAUUCGUUCUGUAGUGGUGAAUGUCACGUGUAUGUAAUUUAUAAGGUAUGCUGUGUUAUAAGAAAAGAGCUUCCAUUUCAGUUUUCAUUUCAGUUAAAAACAACUGAUUAAUUGUAACAUGAUAUUAUUAUCAAGUGUUAAUGUGCUUAAUAACACAUGAAAUCAUCUUUAAAUAAUUAAAUUAAUUUUUUUUCGCUGAUCAUUCCUUUUCUGUUCACACAUUACUAUUUAAUUGUACAUGCACACAACUAUUUACUAAAUACGAUCAACUUUAUAAGAAUAUAUUUUUAUUUAGUGAGUAUAUGUUAUAUUAUAUUUAAUCUGUAUAUUAACGCCACAUAAAUAUGUGUAACUAAACAUAUAGAAUCAUAUUUAGACUAACAAAUAUUUGUUCUUCCUUUUUUUCAUAUGGAUGGGACAGAUCGACCUUUUUGGUGGGACAUGCUACAACUGUGGAAGGAUGGACUACCAACACGGGUGUAAGACUGGAAAACACGUGUCGUGAAACAGGAACAUCGUAUGUUAUCCUGCCAGAUGUCCCUCAACUACCUUGCAAAGCACAAGUCUCAUAAAACCGGAAACCUCACAUUCCGAACCACAGUCAUGCCAACGUAUUGAAAGUCUGACACAGUUGUAUUUAUUGAGGACAUUCGUAAAUAUGGGUGUCCGCACUGCAGAGGUCCCACUAUGAUAUUCUGUAUAAUAGUCAAAGGAUAAUCUGGGCAAGUGGCAUGCUGGUCACAGUCAGGACGCUUUCUACACGCAUUGUUGGACAGGACAUAACUGCAUCGUGUUUACCUGACUAGGAAUCAGGAUUUUGUCAAAUAAUGGUCAUUGAUUUGACAUUACGUGUGACGUUCAUUCUUGAUUUUGUUGAUGAAAAUACGAACUUUGUCAAUCUUUUCUAACAUAAAGAAUAUGUUUGUACUGCAUUUUGUUAUUGUGCACAGUGAAUGCUGCGCUAUACAAAUGCAUAUAUUAUUAUUAUUGUAUAUCGUACAGCGUAUUUGGGCACUAAUAAAUGAUAAUUUAUGUUAUA